rnacentral:rRNA from 1 species
UUACUGGGCGUAAAGAGCUCGUAGGUGGUUUGUCGCGUUGUUCGUGAAAUCUCACGGCUUAACUGUGAGCGUGCGGGCGAUACGGGCAGACUUGAGUACUGCAGGGGAGACUGGAAUUCCUGGUGUAGCAGUGGAAUGCGCAGAUAUCAGGAGGAACACCGGUGGCGAAGGCGGGUCUCUGGGCAGUAACUGACGCUGAGGAGCGAAAGCGUGGGGAGCGAACAGGAUUAGAUACCCUGGUAGUCCACGCCGUAAACGGUGGGUACUAGGUGUGGGUUUCCUUCCUUGGGAUCCGUGCCGUAGCUAACGCAUUAAGUACCCCGCCUGGGGAGUACGGCCGCAAGGCUAAAACUCAAAGAAAUUGACGGGGGCCCGCACAAGCGGCGGAGCAUGUGGAUUAAUUCGAUGCAACGCGAAGAACCUUACCUGGGUUUGACAUGCACAGGACGCCGGCAGAGAUGUCGGUUCCCUUGUGGCCUGUGUGCAGGUGGUGCAUGGCUGUCGUCAGCUCGUGUCGUGAGAUGUUGGGUUAAGUCCCGCAACGAGCGCAACCCUUGUCUCAUGUUGC